rnacentral:rRNA from 1 species
CGGACGGGUGAGUAAUGUCUGGGAAACUGCCUGAUGGAGGGGGAUAACUACUGGAAACGGUAGCUAACACCGCAUAACGUCGCAAGACCAAAGAGGGGACCUUCGGGCCCCUUGCCAUCGGAUGUGCCCAGAUGGGAUUAGCUAGUAGGUGGGGUAACGGCUCACCUAGGCGACGAUCCCUAGCUGGUCUGAGAGGAUGACCAGCCACACUGGAACUGAGACACGGUCCAG